AUCGACCGCCUGGGGAGUACGGCCGCAAGGUUAAAACUCAAAUGAAUUGACGGGGGCCCGCACAAGCGGUGGAGCAUGUGGUUUAAUUCGAUGCAACGCGAAGAACCUUACCUACUCUUGACAUCCAGAGAACUUAGCAGAGAUGCUUUGGUGCCUUCGGGAACUCUGAGACAGGUGCUGCAUGGCUGUCGUCAGCUCGUGUUGUGAAAUGUUGGGUUAAGUCCCGCAACGAGCGCAACCCUUAUCCUUUGUUGCCAGCGGUUCGGCCGGGAACUCAAAGGAGACUGCCAGUGAUAAACUGGAGGAAGGUGGGGAUGACGUCAAGUCAUCAUGGCCCUUACGAGUAGGGCUACACACGUGCUACAAUGGCGUAUACAAAGAGAAGCGACCUCGCGAGAGCAAGCGGACCUCAUAAAGUACGUCGUAGUCCGGAUUGGAGUCUGCAACUCGACUCCAUGAAGUCGGAAUCGCUAGUAAUCGUAGAUCAGAAUGCUACGGUGA
rnacentral:rRNA from 1 species